AUUGAACGCUAGCGGCAGGCUUAAUACAUGCAAGUCGAGGGGUAGCAAGAUUGUAGCAAUACAAUUGUUGACGACCGGCAAACGGGUGCGGAACACGUACACAACCUUCCUACAAGUGGGGAAUAGCCCAGAGAAAUUUGGAUUAAUACCCCGUAACAUAGCGAUGUGGCAUCACAUUGCUAUUAUAGCUUCGGCGCUUGUUGAUGGGUGUGCGGCUGAUUAGAUAGUUGGCGGGGUAACGGCCUACCAAGUCUACGAUCAGUAGCUGAUGUGAGAGCAUGAUCAGCCACACGGGCACUGAGACACGGGCCCGACUCCUACGGGAGGCAGCAGUAAGGAAUAUUGGACAAUGGACGCAAGUCUGAUCCAGCCAUGCCGCGUGAAGGAUUAAGGUCCUCUGGAUUGUAAACUUCUUUUAUAAGGGACGAAAAAAGGUCUUUCUAGAUCGUCUGACGGUACCUUAUGAAUAAGCACCGGCUAACUCCGUGCCAGCAGCCGCAGUAACAC
rnacentral:rRNA from 1 species